GCGAUGAAGGGCGUGCUAAUCUGCGAUAAGCGCCGGUAAGGUGAUAUGAACCGUUAUAACCGGCGAUACCCGAAUGGGGAAACCCAGUGUGACUCGUCACACUAUCAUUAACUGAAUCCAUAGGUUAAUGAGGCGAACCGGGGGAACUGAAACAUCUAAGUACCCCGAGGAAAAGAAAUCAACCGAGAUUCCCCCAGUAGCGGCGAGCGAACGGGGAGGAGCCCAGAGCCUGAAUCAGCAUGUGUGUUAGUGGAAGCGUCUGGAAAGGCGCGCGAUACAGGGUGACAGCCCCGUACACAAAAGCGCAUGUGCUGUGAGCUCGAUGAGUAGGGCGGGACACGUGGUAUCCUGUCUGAAUAUGGGGGGACCAUCCUCCAAGGCUAAAUACUCCUGACUGACCGAUAGUGAACCAGUACCGUGAGGGAAAGGCGAAAAGAACCCCGGCGAGGGGAGUGAAAAAGAACCUGAAACCGUGUACGUACAAGCAGUGGGAGCACAGGUUUACCUGUGUGACUGCGUACCUUUUGUAUAAUGGGUCAGCGACUUAUAUUCUGUAGCAAGGUUAACCGAAUAGGGGAGCCGGAGGGAAACCGAGUCUUAAUUGGGCGUUAAGUUGCAGGGUAUAGACCCGAAACCCGGUGAUCUAGCCAUGGGCAGGUUGAAGGUUGGGUAACACUAACUGGAGGACCGAACCGACUAAUGUUGAAAAAUUAGCGGAUGACCUGUGGCUGGGGGUGAAAGGCCAAUCAAACCGGGAGAUAGCUGGUUCUCCCCGAAAGCUAUUUAGGUAGCGCCUCGUGAAUUCAUCUCCGGGGGUAGAGCACUGUUUCGGCUAGGGGGCCAUCCCGGCUUACCAACCCGAUGCAAACUGCGAAUACCGGAGAAUGUUAUCACGGGAGACACACGGCGGGUGCUAACGUCCGUCGUGAAGAGGGAAACAACCCAGACCGCCAGCUAAGGUCCCAAAGUCAUGGUUAAGUGGGAAACGAUGUGGGAAGGCCCAGACAGCCAGGAUGUUGGCUUAGAAGCAGCCAUCAUUUAAAGAAAGCGUAAUAGCUCACUGGUCGAGUCGGCCUGCGCGGAAGAUGUAACGGGGCUAAACCAUGCACCGAAGCUGCGGCAGCGACACUGUGUGUUGUUGGGUAGGGGAGCGUUCUGUAAGCCUGUGAAGGUGUGUCGUGAGGCAUGCUGGAGGUAUCAGAAGUGCGAAUGCUGACAUAAGUAACGAUAAAGCGGGUGAAAAGCCCGCUCGCCGGAAGACCAAGGGUUCCUGUCCAACGUUAAUCGGGGCAGGGUGAGUCGACCCCUAAGGCGAGGCCGAAAGGCGUAGUCGAUGGGAAACGGGUUAAUAUUCCCGUACUUGGUGUUACUGCGAAGGGGGGACGGAGAAGGCUAUGUUGGCCGGGCGACGGUUGUCCCGGUUUAAGCGUGUAGGUGUGUGUUCCAGGUAAAUCCGGUUCACUUUAACACUGAGGCGUGACGACGAGGCACUACGGUGCUGAAGCAACAAAUGCCCUGCUUCCAGGAAAAGCCUCUAAGCAUCAGGUAACAUCAAAUCGUACCCCAAACCGACACAGGUGGUCAGGUAGAGAAUACCAAGGCGCUUGAGAGAACUCGGGUGAAGGAACUAGGCAAAAUGGUGCCGUAACUUCGGGAGAAGGCACGCUGACACGUAGGUGAAGUGAUUUACUCAUGGAGCUGAAGUCAGUCGAAGAUACCAGCUGGCUGCAACUGUUUAUUAAAAACACAGCACUGUGCAAACACGAAAGUGGACGUAUACGGUGUGACGCCUGCCCGGUGCCGGAAGGUUAAUUGAUGGGGUCAGCGCAAGCGAAGCUCCUGAUCGAAGCCCCGGUAAACGGCGGCCGUAACUAUAACGGUCCUAAGGUAGCGAAAUUCCUUGUCGGGUAAGUUCCGACCUGCACGAAUGGCGUAAUGAUGGCCAGGCUGUCUCCACCCGAGACUCAGUGAAAUUGAACUCGCUGUGAAGAUGCAGUGUACCCGCGGCAAGACGGAAAGACCCCGUGAACCUUUACUAUAGCUUGACACUGAACAUUGAGCCUUGAUGUGUAGGAUAGGUGGGAGGCUUUGAAGUGUGGACGCCAGUCUGCAUGGAGCCGACCUUGAAAUACCACCCUUUAAUGUUUGAUGUUCUAACGUGGACCCGUUACCCGGGUUGCGGACAGUGUCUGGUGGGUAGUUUGACUGGGGCGGUCUCCUCCUAAAGAGUAACGGAGGAGCACGAAGGUUGGCUAAUCCUGGUCGGACAUCAGGAGGUUAGUGCAAUGGCAUAAGCCAGCUUGACUGCGAGCGUGACGGCGCGAGCAGGUGCGAAAGCAGGUCAUAGUGAUCCGGUGGUUCUGAAUGGAAGGGCCAUCGCUCAACGGAUAAAAGGUACUCCGGGGAUAACAGGCUGAUACCGCCCAAGAGUUCAUAUCGACGGCGGUGUUUGGCACCUCGAUGUCGGCUCAUCACAUCCUGGGGCUGAAGUAGGUCCCAAGGGUAUGGCUGUUCGCCAUUUAAAGUGGUACGCGAGCUGGGUUUAGAACGUCGUGAGACAGUUCGGUCCCUAUCUGCCGUGGGCGCUGGAGAACUGAGGGGGGCUGCUCCUAGUACGAGAGGACCGGAGUGGACGCAUCACUGGUGUUCGGGUUGUCAUGCCAAUGGCACUGCCCGGUAGCUAAAUGCGGAAGAGAUAAGUGCUGAAAGCAUCUAAGCACGAAACUUGCCCCGAG
rnacentral:rRNA from 1 species